UUUUUGGGGUUUAAGCGGGAGGAGUCAGAAAAGUUCCGACAGGGAUAACUGGCGUGUGGCGGCCAAGCGUCCAUAGCGACGAGGCUUUUUGAUCCUUCGAUGUCGGCUCUUCCUAUCAUUGUGAAGCAGAAUUCACCAAGCGUUGAAUUGUUCACCCACUUAUAGGGAACGUGAGCUGGGUUUAGACCGUCGGGAGACAGGUUAGU
rnacentral:rRNA from 1 species